GUCUUUCCUUGGGAUGAGUCUCUUCUGGUUAAACCGUUUGGUUUACGACCACUACGACCCGGGUUCGAUCCCCGCAUUGGACA